ACGGGAGGCAGCAGUGAGGAAUAUUGGUCAAUGGUCGGAAGACUGAACCAGCCAAGUAGCGUGCAGGAUGACGGCCCUAUGGGUUGUAAACUGCUUUUAUCGGGGAAUAAAGUCAGCCACGUGUGGUUGUUUGCAUGUACCCGAAGAAUAAGGACCGGCUAAUUCCGUGCCAGCAGCCGCGGUAAUACGGAAGGUCCAGGCGUUAUCCGGAUUUAUUGGGUUUAAAGGGAGCGUAGGCUGUAUGUUAAGCGUGUUGUGAAAUGUAGGAGCUCAACUUCUGCACUGCAGCGCGAACUGGCAGACUUGAGUGCGCGGGAAGUAGGCGGAAUUCGUCGUGUAGCGGUGAAAUGCUUAGAUAUGACGAAGAACUCCGAUUGCGAAGGCAGCUUACUGUAGCGCAACUGACGCUGAAGCUCGAAAGUGUGGGUAUCGAACAGGAUUAGAUACCCUGGUA
rnacentral:rRNA from 1 species